rnacentral:rRNA from 1 species
AAUUACUACAGCCAUUUGUUUCAGAUAAAUAGCUUCCUAACCACAUUUUCAAUUUUAGACCUCAAAUCAGGUGG